CAACUUUCAACAACGGAUCUCUUGGCUCUCGCAUCGAUGAAGAACGCAGCGAAAYGCGAUAAGUAAUGUGAAUUGCAGAAUUCAGUGAAUCAUCGAAUCUUUGAACGCAUCUUGCGCUCCUUGGUAUUCCAUGGAGCAUGCCUGUUUGAGUGUCACGU
rnacentral:rRNA from 1 species